rnacentral:rRNA from 1 species
CCUACGGGAGGCAGCAGUGAGGAAUAUUGGUCAAUGGGCGCGAGCCUGAACCAGCCAAGUAGCGUGAAGGAUGACUGCCCUACGGGCUGUAAACUUCUUUUAUAAAGGAAUAAAGUGAGGCACGUGUGCCUUUUUGUAUGUACUUUAUGAAUAAGGAUCGGCUAACUCCGUGCCAGCAGCCGCGGUAAUGCGGAGGGUGCGAGAGUUACUCGGAAUUACUGGGUGGAAAGGGCACGUAGGCGGUAUGUCAAGUCAAGGGUGAAAGCCCCGCGCUCAACGUGGGAACUGCCUUUGAAACUGGCAAACUUGAGUGUGUGAGAGGAUAGUGGAAUUCCAGGUGUAGGAGUGAAAUCCGUAGAUAUCUGGAGGAACAUCAGUGGCGAAAGCGACUAGCUGGCACGUAACUGACGCUGAGGAGCGAAAGCGUGGGUAGCAAACAGGAUUAGAUACCCUUGUAGUC